GUCGUAUCCGACUCUUGACGACCCCAUGGACUGCAGCCUACCAGGCUUCUCCGUCCAAGGGAUUUUCCAGGCAAGAGUACUGGAGUGGGGUGCCAUUGCCUUCUCCAGGGGAAGACGCUAGGAGCCAACAAAUGUGACCUGACCAGAUUCUCAGAGCUGGAGAAGGCAAAGAAGUCACUUCUCCCCAAGAACUUCCAGCAGGAAUGCGACCCCACGGACGCCUUCAUUGUAGCCCAGUGAGGCUCCUGUUGAACUUCUUACUUCUAGAACAAUGAUUAUAUUGUUUUGUACGUGCAUGCUAAGUCGCUUCAGUUGUGUCCUACUCUGUGACCCUAUGGACUGUAGCAUGCCAGGCUCCUCUGUCCAUGGGAUUCUCCAGGCAAGAAUACUGUUUGCUGUGUCCUCCUCCAGGAGAGUCUUCUGACCCAGAAUUGAAACCCCAUCUCUAAUGUCUCCUGCGUUGCAGAUGUGAAUAAUCCCAAUGCCCCUUCCAAGAAUGAGAAAGAAAACCAAGGACCACUUCCUCCAACUCUGCACCCUAGAUUCAUUUCUCCCUGCAAAAGGAGAAGUUCUCUGGUGAGUUCAGAAGGACUUGAAGCUG